rnacentral:misc_RNA from 1 species
AACCUUAUGGACCUGCGGGCGUAUACCUGCGGAGGGAUCAUUACCGAGUUUACAACUCCCAAACCCCUGUGAACAUACCUAUACGUUGCCUCGGCGGAUCAGCCCGCGCCCUGUAAAACGGGACGGCCCGCCCGAGGACCCUAAACUCUGUUUUUAGUGGAACUUCUGAGUAAAACAAACAAAUAAAUCAAAACUUUUAGCAAUGGAUCU